UUUUAUAUAAACGUCAAUAAGCCAUUAAUUCUUUAAAACGUGUAGACUUAAUCAAUACAGUACUUUCCCGAGAGCGGUUCGCCUUAAAAUUGUUUAAAAUGAAUGAAUUAAAAGCAUUUGAUGAUAUAGUCAGUGAAAACUUUCAUUCCAUAAAAUUUCCAACUGUAAGUCAGUUUUGCUGCAAUGAAGAUUUUGUGGAUUUAAAAAAAAGGGGGCUUUAAUAUCAGCCGGAAUUACUGCUGUUUUAAAUGUUUUGGGUAUUAUAAUGACAGACCAAGUAAUUGUGAAUAUGAUUUCGUUAAUAUUUACCGGAUUUUGGGCUUAUGGCAUUUCGAAAGAAAAUCCAAGAUUCUUGUCGUACUGGUAUCUCUUAACAGGACUCAUUUCAAUCGUCGUGUUCUCGUUCAUAUCAUUAAUUCGUAGCAUAGUCUAUCUAUACGUAAUCAUCGCAAGCCCUGAACACACCGAAAUUAUGCCCCAUAAGAGACUGUAUAAAAUGCAAAACUGUAGCACUGCUAGCGCCACUACGGACAACUAUGGAGCUCUAGUCCGUUGGUUGCAACUGAGCAAAAGUCUUUUCACUAUUUGGCGGCAACUUAGUGUAGAUUACAUUGUAAUCCGUCGUGGCGCUAGCAGUGUGACAGUUUGGGCAUAAUU